CCUACGGGUGGCAGCAGUGGGGAAAUUGGACAAUGGGGGGAACCCUGAUCCAGCCAUGCCGCGUGUGUGAAGAAGGCCCUCGGGUUGUAAAGCACUUUCAGUGAGGAAGAACGCCUGGUGGUUAAUACCCAUCAGGAAAGACAUCACUCACAGAAGAAGCACCGGCUAACUCCGUGCCAGCAGCCGCGGUAAUACGGAGGGUGCGAGCGUUAAUCGGAAUUACUGGGCGUAAAGCGCGCGUAGGUGGCUUGAUAAGCCGGUUGUGAAAGCCCCGGGCUCAACCUGGGAACGGCAUCCGGAACUGUCAAGCUAGAGUGCAGGAGAGGAAGGUAGAAUUCCCGGUGUAGCGGUGAAAUGCGUAGAGAUCGGGAGGAAUACCAGUGGCGAAGGCGGCCUUCUGGACUGACACUGACACUGAGGUGCGAAAGCGUGGGUAGCAAACAGGAUUAGAUACCCGUGUAGUC
rnacentral:rRNA from 1 species